rnacentral:rRNA from 1 species
AAAACCCAAACGAACGCUGGCGGCAGGCUUAACACAUGCAAGUCGAGCGCCCCGCAAGGGGAGCGGCAGACGGGUGAGUAACGCGUGGGAACGUACCUUUUGCUACGGAAUAACUCAGGGAAACUUGUGCUAAUACCGUAUGUGCCCUUCGGGGGAAAGAUUUAUCGGCAAAGGAUCGGCCCGCGUUGGAUUAGCUAGUUGGUGAGGUAAAGGCUCACCAAGGCGACGAUCCAUAGCUGGUCUGAGAGGAUGAUCAGCCACACUGGGACUGAGACACGGCCCAGACUCCUACGGGAGGCAGCACUGUCUCUUAUACACAU